rnacentral:rRNA from 1 species
GGUAGCUCCGUGCCGGCGGCGUCGGUAAUACGUUGGGGGCAAUGGUUAAUUGGAGUUACUUGUGGUAAAUGGUGCUUAUGUUGUGUGGUAAGCGAUAUUGGAAAGCCUCGGGCUUAACCUGGGAAUUGCAUGUCGAACUGGCAAGCGAGAGUACGGUAGAGGGUAGUGGAAUUUCCGGUGUAGCGUGGAAAUGCGUAGAGAUCGGAAGGAACAUCAGUGGCGAAGGCGACUACCUGGACUGAUACUGACACUGAGGUGCGAAAGCGUGGGGAGCAAACAGGAUUAGAUACCCGUGUAGUC